GAUCAAGCUACUAAGGGCUUAUGGUGGAUGCCUUGGUGCCAGUAGGCGAUGAAGGACGUAGCAAAUUGCGAUAAGCUGCGGUGAGCCGUUGAGCAGGCUUUGACCCGCAGAUUUCCUAAUGGGGCAACCCAUCUGGUCUAAAACCAGAUAUCUUUGGAUGAAUUCAUAGUCCAAAGAAGCGAUACGGGGUGAAGUGAAACAUCUCAGUAACCCCAGGAAAAGAAAACGAAGUGAUUCCGUAAGUAGUGGCGAGCGAAAGCGGAACAGCCUAAACCAUGAUGACUUGUCAUCGUGGGGUUGUGGGACUUCAACGUGGACCUCUAAGAGCGAGCUUAACGAUUUGGAACAAUCGACCAAAGACCGUGAUAGUCGGGUGAGCGAAGUUUGAGGGGGCCUAGAAGUAUCCCAAGUAAUGCGGUGCACGUGAAACUCUGCAUGAAUCUGUCCAGACCACUGGAUAAGGCUAAAUACUAACUGGCAACCGACAGUGAACAAGUACCGUGAGGGAAAGGUGAAAAGAACCCUUUUUAAGGGAGUCAAAUAGAUCUGAAACCAUAUGCCUACAAUGUGUAGGAGCACCGCAAGGUGUGACUGCUUGCCUUUUGCAUAAUGAGUCUGCGAGUUAUUAUCAGUGGCCUGCCUAACUCUCUCUGAGAGUCAGGCGCAGCGAAAGCGAGUACGAAUAGUGCGACUAGUCGCUGGUAAUAGACCCGAAGCGGAGGUGAUCUACUCUUGAGCAGGUUGAAGCCUAGGUAACACUGGGUGAAGGACCGAACUCGUGGAUGUUGAAAAAUCCUGAGAUGACUUGAGAGUAGGAGCGAAAGACUAAUCAAACCCCGUGAUAGCUGGUUCUCUCCGAAAUAGCUUGAGGGCUAGCGUUGGAUAAGUACUCCUAGGAGGUAGAGCACUGAAUGGCUUAGGGGCCCCACCAGGCUGCCAAAACCAAUCAAACUCCAAAUUCCAAGGAUCCCAUUAUUCCAGCAUUCAGGCCGUGGGGGAUAAGCUUCAUGGCCGAGAGGGCAACAGCCCAGACCGCCAGCUAAGGUGCCUAAAUGUCGUUAAGUGGAAAGGAUGUAACGUUGCUUAGACAGUGAGGAUGUUGGCUUAGAGGCAGCCACCAUUUAAACAGUGCGUAAUAGCUGACUCAUCGAGCGAUGUUGCGCCGAAAAUGAUUGGCGAUUAAACGAUAUACCGAAGCUGCGGAUUGACCAGUGGUUCGCCACAGGUCAGUGGUAGGAGAGCGUAAUCGAUGCGCCGAAGCCGAACUGAAAAGGACGGUGGAGCGUCGAUUAGUGAGAAUGCAGACAUGAGUAGCGAUAAAACAGAUGAGAAUUCUGUUCGCCGUAAACCUAAGGUUUCCUGGGGCAGGUUCGUCCUCCCAGGGUUAGUCGGGAGCUAAGAUGAGACCGUAAGGUGUAAUCGAUGCACAGCAGGUAUAACAUUCCUGCACCGGCUAGGGCGCUGCGUAGAGUGGACGCGAAGAGGGACAGAGUUAGGUCAUUGAUAGACUGAGCUGCGGCUUCGGCCAAUGCGUACUUUGAAACGAUUCGCCUAGAAAAGACUCUACGAUUAUCCCUAGUCGCCCGUACCGUAAACCGACACAGGUGGGUGGGUCGAGUAGACCAAGGCGCACGAGAGAAACCUCUCUAAGGAACUCGGCAAAUUAGCCCCGUAACUUCGGGAGAAGGGGUGCCUGCUUCGGCAGGCCUCAGUAAAUUGCGUUUAGCGACUGUUUAACAAAAACACAGCACUCUGCAACGUCGUCAAGACAACGUAUAGGGUGUGACACGUGACCAAUGCGGAAAGAUCAAGGCAAGUUGUUAGCCGCAAGGCGAAGCUCCGAACCUAAGUCCCCGUGAAUGUCGGCCGUAACUAUAACGGUCCUAAGGUAGCGAAAUUCCUUGUCGGGUAAGUUCCGACCUGCACGAAUCGUGUAACGACUGAACGACUGUCUCGGAGAGGAUCUCGGCGAAAUUGUAACGGCGGUGAAGAUGCCGCCUGCCCGCAGUAGGACGGAAAGACCCUAUGCACCUUUACUGUAAGCUCGUAGUGGGUUCUGGUUAUUUAUGCUUAGCGUAGGUGGGAGACUUUGAAGGCAUGGCUUCGGUUGUGUCUGAGUCGCAAUGUGAAACACCACUCUUAGAUAAUUAGGAUUCUAACCCCAAUUCCUGUUAGCCAGGUGGGGGACAGUGCGUGCGGGUCAGUUUGACUGGGGCGGUUUCCUCCCAAAGAGUAACGGAGGAGCGCGAAGCUUGGUUCAGUACGGUUGGCAACCGUACGUCGAGCGUAUGGGUAUAAGCCAGGUUAACUGUGAGACCAACAAGUCGAGCAGAUGCGAAAGCAGGCCCAAAUGAUCCGAUGGUUGAAUGUGGAAUUGCCAUCGCUCAACGGACAAAAGGUACGCUAGGGAUAACAGGCUGAUCGGUUCCAAGAGUUCAUAUCGACGAACCGGUUUGGCACCUCGAUGUCGGCUCAUCGCAUCCUGGGGCUGGAGAAGGUCCCAAGGGUCCGGCUGUUCGCCGGUUAAAGCGGUACGCGAGCUGGGUUCAGAACGUCGUGAGACAGUUCGGUCCUUAUCCACUGUGGGCG
rnacentral:rRNA from 1 species